rnacentral:rRNA from 1 species
UACGGGGGGAGCAAGCGUUGUUCGGAUUUACUGGGCGUAAAGGGCGCGUAGGCGGCCAGCACAAGUCAGUUGUGAAAUCUCCGAGCUUAACUCGGAAAGGUCAACUGAUACUGUGCGGCUAGAGUGCGGAAGGGGCAACUGGAAUUCUUGGUGUAGCGGUGAAAUGCGUAGAUAUCGGGAGGAACACCAGUGGCGAAGGCGGCUACCUGGCCCAUUCUUGACGCUGAGGCGCGAAAGCUAGGGGAGCAAACGGG